ACCUGCCCAUUGGAAUCUAAAAGGCCGCGGUAUUAUGACCGUGCUAAGGUAGCAUAAUCAUUAGUCUUUUAAUUGGAGGCUGGUAUGAAUGGUUGGACAAGAAAUAAGCUGUCUUAAAUAAAAAUAUUGAAUUUAACUUUUAAGUGAAAAGGCUUAAAUUUUCUAAGGGGACGAUAAGACCCUAUAAAACUUUAUAUUUUAAAAUAAUAAUUAAUUUUUAUAUAGAAGAUUUAUUUUUAAAUAUUUUAUUGGGGUGAUAAAGAUAAAAUGUGAGAUAACUGUCUUUUUUUUUUUACAAUUAAUAUUUGAGUAAAAGAUCCUAACAAAGGAAAUAAGAGAUUAAGUUACUUUAGGGAUAACAGCGUAAUUUUCUUUAAGAGUUCUUAUCGACAAGAAAGUUUGCGACCUCGAUGUUGAAUUAAAAGUUCUUUAUAGAGUAAAUAUUAUAAUAGAGGGUCUGUUCGACCCUUAAAAUUUUACGUG
rnacentral:rRNA from 1 species